UACGUAGGUGGCAAGCGUUGUCCGGAUUUACUGGGCGUAAAGAGCUCGUAGGCGGUUUGUCGCGUCUGUCGUGAAAGCCCCGGGCUCAACCUGGGAAUGGCCGUUGAAACUGGCGAACUGGAGUGUGGCAGAGGGGGGUGGAAUUCCGCGUGUAGCAGUGAAAUGCGUAGAGAUGCGGAGGAACACCGAUGGCGAAGGCAGCCCCCUGGGCUGACACUGACGCUCAGGCACGAAAGCGUGGGGAGCAAACAGG
rnacentral:rRNA from 1 species